CCUACGGGGGGCAGCAGUAGGGAAUAUUGCUCAAUGGGGGAAACCCUGAAGCAGCAACGCCGCGUGGAGGAUGAAGGUUUUAGGAUUGUAAACUCCUUUUGUUAGAGAAGAUUAUGACGGUAUCUAACGAAUAAGCACUGGCUAACUCCGUGCCAGCAGCCGCGGUAAUACGGAGGGCGCAAGCGUUACUCGGAAUCACUGGGCGGAAAGAGUACGUAGGCGGGGUAAUAAGUCAGAUGUGAAAUCCUGUGGCUUAACUGCAGAACUGCAUUUGAAACUGUUACUCUGGAGUGUGGGAGAGGUAGGUGGAAUUCUUGGUGUAGGGGUAAAAUCCGUAGAGAUCAAGAGGAAUACUCAUUGCGAAGGCGACCUGCUGGAACAUUACUGACGCUGAUGCACGAAAGCGUGGGGAGCAAACAGGAUUAGAUACCCCGGUAGUC
rnacentral:rRNA from 1 species